GUGUCAGCAGCCGCGGUAAUACGGAGGAUCCAAGCGUUAUCCGGAAUCAUUGGGUUUAAAGGGUCCGUAGGCGGUUUUAUAAGUCAGUGGUGAAAUCCGGUAGCUCAACUAUCGAACGGCCAUUGAUACUGUAGAACUUGAAUUAUUGUGAAGUAACUAGAAUAUGUAGUGUAGCGGUGAAAUGCUUAGAUAUUACAUGGAAUACCAAUUGCGAAGGCAGGUUACUAACAAUAUAUUGACGCUGAUGGACGAAAGCGUGGGGAGCGAACAGGAUUAGAUACCCUGGUAGUCCACGCCGUAAACGAUGGAUACUAGCUGUUUGGUAGCAAUACUGAGUGGCUAAGCGAAAGUGAUAAGUACUCCCACCGUGGGGA
rnacentral:rRNA from 1 species